AGCGAACGCUGGCGGCAGGCCUAACACAUGCAAGUCGAACGAUCCUUCGGGAUAGUGGCGGACGGGUGAGUAACACGUGGGAACGUACCUUUAGGUUCGGGAUAACUCAGGGAAACUUGAGCUAAUACCGGAUGUGCCCUUUUGGGGAAAGAUUUAUCGCCUUUAGAGCGGCCCGCGUUAGAUUAGCUAGUUGGUGAGGUAAAGGCUCACCAAGGCUCCGAUCUAUAGCUGGUCUGAGAGGAUGAUCAGCCACACUGGGACUGAGACACGGCCCAGACUCCUACGGGAGGCAGCAGUGGGGAAUCUUGCGCAAUGGGCGAGAGCCUGACGCAGCCAUGCCGCGUGAAUGAUGAAGGUCUUAGGAUCGUAAACUUCUUUUGACUCGUCACAUGACGAGUAGAAUAAGCAUCUGCUAACCACGUGCCAGCCGCCGCGGUAA
rnacentral:rRNA from 1 species